UGCUAACGUCCGUCGUGAAGAGGGAAACAACCCAGACCGCCAGCUAAGGUCCCAAAGUCAUGGUUAAGUGGGAAACGAUGUGGGAAGGCCCAGACAGCCAGGAUGUUGGCUUAGAAGCAGCCAUCAUUUAAAGAAAGCGUAAUAGCUCACUGGUCGAGUCGGCCUGCGCGGAAGAUGUAACGGGGCUAAACCAUGCACCUAAGCUGCGGCAGCGGCGCUUAUGCGUUGUUGGGUAGGGGAGCGUUCUGUAAGCCUGUGAAGGUGUGCUGUGAGGCAUGCUGGAGGUAUCAGAAGUGCGAAUGCUGACAUAAGUAACGAUAAAGCGGGUGAAAAGCCCGCUCGCCGGAAGACCAAGGGUUCCUGUCCAACGUUAAUCGGGGCAGGGUGAGUCGACCCCUAAGGCGAGGCCGAAAGGCGUAGUCGAUGGGAAACAGGUUAAUAUUCCUGUACUUGGUGUUACUGCGAAGGGGGGACGGAGAAGGCUAUGUUGGCCGGGCGACGGUUGUCCCGGUUUAAGCGUGUAGGCUGGUUUUCCAGGCAAAUCCGGAAAAUCAAGGCUGAGGCGUGAUGACGAGGCACUACGGUGCUGAAGCAACAAAUGCCCUGCUUCCAGGAAAAGCCUCUAAGCAUCAGGUAACAUCAAAUCGUACCCCAAACCGACACAGGUGGUCAGGUAGAGAAUACCAAGGCGCUUGAGAGAACUCGGGUGAAGGAACUAGGCAAAAUGGUGCCGUAACUUCGGGAGAAGGCACGCUGAUAUGUAGGUGAAGUCCCUCGCGGAUGGAGCUGAAAAUCAGUCGAAGAUACCAGCUGGCUGCAACUGUUUAUUAAAAACACAGCACUGUGCAAACACGAAAGUGGACGUAUACGGUGUGACGCCUGCCCGGUGCCGGAAGGUUAAUUGAUGGGGUCAGCGCAAGCGAAGCUCUUGAUCGAAGCCCCGGUAAACGGCGGCCGUAACUAUAACGGUCCUAAGGUAGCGAAAUUCCUUGUCGGGUAAGUUCCGACCUGCACGAAUGGCGUAAUGAUGGCCAGGCUGUCUCCACCCGAGACUCAGUGAAAUUGAACUCGCUGUGAAGAUGCAGUGUACCCGCGGCAAGACGGAAAGACCCCGUGAACCUUUACUAUAGCUUGACACUGAACAUUGAGCCUUGAUGUGUAGGAUAGGUGGGAGGCUUUGAAGUGUGGACGCCAGUCUGCAUGGAGCCGACCUUGAAAUACCACCCUUUAAUGUUUGAUGUUCUAACGUUGACCCGUAAUCCGGGUUGCGGACAGUGUCUGGUGGGUAGUUUGACUGGGGCGGUCUCCUCCUAAAGAGUAACGGAGGAGCACGAAGGUUGGCUAAUCCUGGUCGGACAUCAGGAGGUUAGUGUAAUGGCAUAAGCCAGCUUGACUGCGAGCGUGACGGCGCGAGCAGGUGCGAAAAGCAGGUCAUAGUGAUCCGGUGGUUCUGAAUGGAAGGGCCAUCGCUCAACGGAUAAAAGGUACUCCGGGGAUAACAGGCUGAUACCGCCCAAGAGUUCAUAUCGACGGCGGUGUUUGGCACCUCGAUGUCGGCUCAUCACAUCCUGGGGCUGAAGUAGGUCCCAAGGGUAUGGCUGUUCGCCAUUUAAAGUGGUACGCGAGCUGGGUUUAGAACGUCGUGAGACAGUUCGGUCCCUAUCUGCCGUGGGCGCUGGAGAACUGAGGGGGGCUGCUCCUAGUACGAGAGGACCGGAGUGGACGCAUCACUGGUGUUCGGGUUGUCAUGCCAAUGGCACUGCCCGGUAGCUAAAUGCGGAAGAGAUAAGUGCUGAAAGCAUCUAAGCACGAAACUUGCCCCGAGAUGAGUUCUCCCUGACCCUUUAAGGGUCCUGAAGGAACGUUGAAGACGACGACGUUGAUAGGCCGGGUGUGUAAGCGCAGCGAUGCGUUGAGCUAACCGGUACUAAUGAACCGUGAGGCUUAACCUU
rnacentral:rRNA from 1 species